rnacentral:rRNA from 1 species
UACGGAGGGUGCGAGCGUUGUCCGGAAUCACUGGGCGUAAAGGGUGCGUAGGCGGGUCUUUAAGUCAGGGGUGAAAUCCUGGAGCUCAACUCCAGAACUGCCUUUGAUACUGGGAGGCUCGAGUCCGGGAGAGGUGAGUGGAACUGCGAGUGUAGAGGUGAAAUUCGUAGAUAUUCGCAAGAACACCAGUGGCGAAGGCGGCUCACUGGCCCGGUACUGACGCUGAGGUGCGAAAGCGUGGGGAGCAAACAGG